rnacentral:rRNA from 1 species
GACGAACGCUGGCGGCGUGCUUAACACAUGCAAGUCGAGCGGAAAGGCCUUUCGGGGUACUCGAGCGGCGAACGGGUGAGUAACACGUGAGUAAUCUGCCCUGCACUCUGGGAUAGCCACCGGAAACGGUGAUUAAUACCGGAUAUGAGCAUUCCACGCAUGUGGGGUGUUGGAAAGUUUUUUCGGUGCGGGAUGUGCUCGCGGCCUAUCAGCUUGUUGGUGGGGUAAUGGCCUACCAAGGCUUCGACGGGUAGCCGGCCUGAGAGGGUGACCGGCCACACUGGGACUGAGACACGGCCCAGACUCCUACGGGAGGCAGCAGUGGGGAAUAUUGGACAAUGGGCGGAAGCCUGAUCCAGCAACGCCGCGUGAGGGAUGACGGCCUUCGGGUUGUAAACCUCUUUCAGCACAGACGAAGCGCAAGUGACGGUAUGUGCAGAAGAAGGACCGGCCAACUACGUGCCAGCCGCCGCAGUAACAC